UCCGAGCCUCUUCUCCUCUCACGCCCUAACCGCUCCUCCCAAACCGGCGCCGCCCUCCCUCACGUCACUUCCUCUUCUUCUCCACGAGUACAAAAGCUUCGAACCCGAGCCUUCCCCUUGCGUCGAUUCUUUUUCCCCUUCUUUCCCUCUGCCCUAGCCGUCUCCACCAUCGUCGUCUCCCUCUCGCCAGAUACUAGCCACUGCCGCCCACUUCGUGUGAGACUCACCAACAACGUAGUGGCCGUCGUAGGAAGUGGUGCGGUCGGCCUGAGCAAGGAGCCCGAGUCCUCUUCAUUGUGUCUCCAUUGCACUCUCCGAUUGCAAGCCACCCGAGCAACCUUCUCUUUCGAUUGUCGAGUUCCGUUCGACAGUUGCCCCCUCCGAUUCGCUCAUCUCCUCGCGCCAAGCAACAUUGAGUCGUGCCCUAGAUCUCGCCACUGCACCUCUGCAAUGGGCAAUCUUUAACCAAGGGCAGAGAGUCGUGCCUUAGCCGUCUUCCGCUCGCCACUGGCUACUGCCACAACUGAUCGGCCGACACCACCCAGAACCCCUCAGCACCUCUUGGCGCAGCCGACGCCUCGCCUCUCUUCACUGCGCCGAUUCUGCCAGAGAGGGAAACUGCCGGUUGGUGGUUCCUAGGUAGUGACGGCAACAAAACUGUGAUAGCAGUAACUCCGGCCACAAUUUCUAGCAGCUACCCUUCUCCAGCAGUCACUUGGCUGUGAAUUUGAGGUUGCGGCUGUCCGAAGGAUUUCCAAUCGCUAGUCCCCCUGCAGAUCGCAAGGAUGUUUGUUUAGUCUUUUGGUUUUUCUUAUUAUACUAUCUAUACUAUGUUUUAGACUUGUAUCUUUUUGGCACUUGGAUCUUGUAUGGUCCUUUAUUUGUCGAUAGAGUUUUAUUUGGAUAUGUUUUGCUACAUAUCUGCCUGGACAGCAGAAGAGGUGAGUUGAUUUUAUUUGCGUCAUUGUGAUUUGAAUUUUAUGGGUGUAGUUGAGUAGGAAUAUGAUUUGAGUUUUAUGAGCAUAAUGGAGUAGGAUAUUUGGGAUGAUUUUCCUUAUCGUUGUUUUAG